rnacentral:tRNA from 1 species
GCCGCGAUUGGUGUGUGGUUAAAGCGAUGAACUUGAAAUUAAUUGGAGAUUGACGUGCGGGCUCAAAUCCUGCUUGCGACG